GGACCUUUAGCUCAGUUGGUUAGAGCAGACGGCUCAUAACCGUCCGGUGGUAGGUUCGAUUCCUACAAGGUCCA
rnacentral:tRNA from 1 species